UACAGAGGGGGCAAGCGUUGCUCGGAAUCACUGGGCGUAAAGGGCGCGUAGGCGGGAUGGCAAGUCAGUCGUGAAAUCUCUCGGCUCAACCGAGAAACGUCGGCUGAUACUGCCGUUCUUGAGGAAUGUAGAGGAGACUGGAAUUCCCGGUGUAGCGGUGAAAUGUGUAGAGAUCGGGAGGAACACCGGUGGCGAAGGCGGGUCUCUGGGCAUCUCCUGACGCUGAGGCGCGAAAGCAUGGGGAGCAAAC
rnacentral:rRNA from 1 species